UGUUGGGGUUGUAGGACACUCUAUACGGAGUUACAAAGGACGACAUUAGACGAAUCAUCUGGAAAGAUGAAUCAAAGAAGGUAAUAAUCCUGUAGUCGAAAAUGUUGUCUCUCUUGAGUGGAUCCUGAGUACGACGGAGCACGUGAAAUUCCGUCGGAAUCUGGGAGGACCAUCUCCUAAGGCUAAAUACUCUCUAGUGACCGAUAGUGAACCAGUACCGUGAGGGAAAGGUGAAAAGCACCCCGGAAGGGGAGUGAAAUAGAACCUGAAACCGUGUGCUUACAAGUAGUCAGAGCCCGUUAAUGGGUGAUGGCGUGCCUUUUGUAGAAUGAACCGGCGAGUUACGAUUUGAUGCAAGGUUAAGCAGUAAAUGUGGAGCCGUAGCGAAAGCGAGUCUGAAUAGGGCGUUUAGUAUUUGGUCGUAGACCCGAAACCAGGUGAUCUACCCUUGGUCAGGUUGAAGUUCAGGUAACACUGAAUGGAGGACCGAACCGACUUACGUUGAAAAGUGAGCGGAUGAACUGAGGGUAGCGGAGAAAUUCCAAUCGAACCUGGAGAUAGCUGGUUCUCUCCGAAAUAGCUUUAGGGCUAGCCUCAAGUGAUGAUUAUUGGAGGUAGAGCACUGUUUGGACGAGGGGCCCCUCUCGGGUUACCGAAUUCAGACAAACUCCGAAUGCCAAUUAAUUUAACUUGGGAGUCAGAACAUGGGUGAUAAGGUCCGUGUUCGAAAGGGAAACAGCCCAGACCACCAGCUAAGGUCCCAAAAUAUAUGUUAAGUGGAAAAGGAUGUGGCGUUGCCCAGACAACUAGGAUGUUGGCUUAGAAGCAGCCAUCAUUUAAAGAGUGCGUAAUAGCUCACUAGUCGAGUGACACUGCGCCGAAAAUGUACCGGGGCUAAACAUAUUACCGAAGCUGUGGAUUGUCCUUUGGACAAUGGUAGGAGAGCGUUCUAAGGGCGUUGAAGCAUGAUCGUAAGGACAUGUGGAGCGCUUAGAAGUGAGAAUGCCGGUGUGAGUAGCGAAAGACGGGUGAGAAUCCCGUCCACCGAUUGACUAAGGUUUCCAGAGGAAGGCUCGUCCGCUCUGGGUUAGUCGGGUCCUAAGCUGAGGCCGACAGGCGUAGGCGAUGGAUAACAGGUUGAUAUUCCUGUACCACCUAUAAUCGUUUUAAUCGAUGGGGGGACGCAGUAGGAUAGGCGAAGCGUGCGAUUGGAUUGCACGUCUAAGCAGUAAGGCUGAGUAUUAGGCAAAUCCGGUACUCAUUAAGGCUGAGCUGUGAUGGGGAGAAGACAUUGUGUCUUCGAGUCGUUGAUUUCACACUGCCGAGAAAAGCCUCUAGAUAGAAAAUAGGUGCCCGUACCGCAAACCGACACAGGUAGUCAAGAUGAGAAUUCUAAGGUGAGCGAGCGAACUCUCGUUAAGGAACUCGGCAAAAUGACCCCGUAACUUCGGGAGAAGGGGUGCUCUUUAGGGUUAACGCCCAGAAGAGCCGCAGUGAAUAGGCCCAAGCGACUGUUUAUCAAAAACACAGGUCUCUGCUAAACCGUAAGGUGAUGUAUAGGGGCUGACGCCUGCCCGGUGCUGGAAGGUUAAGAGGAGUGGUUAGCUUCUGCGAAGCUACGAAUCGAAGCCCCAGUAAACGGCGGCCGUAACUAUAACGGUCCUAAGGUAGCGAAAUUCCUUGUCGGGUAAGUUCCGACCCGCACGAAAGGCGUAACGAUUUGGGCACUGUCUCAACGAGAGACUCGGUGAAAUCAUAGUACCUGUGAAGAUGCAGGUUACCCGCGACAGGACGGAAAGACCCCGUGGAGCUUUACUGUAGCCUGAUAUUGAAAUUCGGCACAGCUUGUACAGGAUAGGUAGGAGCCUUUGAAACGUGAGCGCUAGCUUACGUGGAGGCGCUGGUGGGAUACUACCCUAGCUGUGUUGGCUUUCUAACCCGCACCACUUAUCGUGGUGGGAGACAGUGUCAGGCGGGCAGUUUGACUGGGGCGGUCGCCUCCUAAAAGGUAACGGAGGCGCUCAAAGGUUCCCUCAGAAUGGUUGGAAAUCAUUCAUAGAGUGUAAAGGCAUAAGGGAGCUUGACUGCGAGACCUACAAGUCGAGCAGGGUCGAAAGACGGACUUAGUGAUCCGGUGGUUCCGCAUGGAAGGGCCAUCGCUCAACGGAUAAAAGCUACCCCGGGGAUAACAGGCUUAUCUCCCCCAAGAGUUCACAUCGACGGGGAGGUUUGGCACCUCGAUGUCGGCUCAUCGCAUCCUGGGGCUGUAGUCGGUCCCAAGGGUUGGGCUGUUCGCCCAUUAAAGCGGUACGCGAGCUGGGUUCAGAACGUCGUGAGACAGUUCGGUCCCUAUCCGUCGUGGGCGUAGGAAAUUUGAGAGGAGCUGUCCUUAGUACGAGAGGACCGGGAUGGACAUACCUCUGGUGUACCAGUUGUCGUGCCAACGGCAUAGCUGGGUAGCUAUGUGUGGACGGGAUAAGUGCUGAAAGCAUCUAAGCAUGAAGCCCCCCUCAAGAUGAGAUUUCCCAACUUCGGUUAUAAGAUCCCUCAAAGAUGAUGAGGUUAAUAGGUUCGAGGUGGAAGCAUGGUGACAUGUGGAGCUGACGAAUACUAA
rnacentral:rRNA from 1 species